UCUUCGGCAAUGGGGGCAACCCUGACCGAGCAACGCCGCGUGAGUGAAGAAGGUUUUCGGAUCGUAAAGCUCUGUUGUAAGUCAAGAACGAGUGUGAGAGUGGAAAGUUCACACUGUGACGGUAGCUUACCAGAAAGGGACGGCUAACUACGUGCCAGCAGCCGCGGUAAUACGUAGGUCCCGAGCGUUGUCCGGAUUUAUUGGGCGUAAAGCGAGCGCAGGCGGUUUGAUAAGUCUGAAGUUAAAGGCUGUGGCUCAACCAUAGUUCGCUUUGGAAACUGUCAAACUUGAGUGCAGAAGGGGAGAGUGGAAUUCCAUGUGUAGCGGUGAAAUGCGUAGAUAUAUGGAGGAACACCGGUGGCGAAAGCGGCUCUCUGGUCUGUAACUGACGCUGAGGCUCGAAAGCGUGGGGAGCGAACAGGA
rnacentral:rRNA from 1 species